rnacentral:lncRNA from 1 species
AAUAUUAAAAAUGAGAUCUUAUAUAGAGUGUAGACAUGACUAAAAAUAAAGGGUUCAUAGAGGUUAAAUUCUUAAAAUGACUAAAAUUUGCUUCAAACUCUCUUGCCUAUAUUGACACUAUUGAUAUGACGUGCUUGCUUAUUGGGAUGAUUGAUAUGAUGUGCUUUUUCACUUCUUCUAAAAGAUUGUCUUCAAAUUCUUGAGUGCAUUCGGAUAUAUGUUUUAUUUCUCCGGCAUUGUCACUUGGUCUCUUUUCUACAAAGCCAAAAAAAAAUAAGAAACUCAAAAAUUGAUAGUCAAGUUAAAUGAUUUAAUAUACAUAAAAAAAGGUAAGAAAAUAUAUAAUUGCAAGAGAAAAAGAAUUAAUGUGAAUGAGUGACAAUAAUUUAUAGAUAUAAACAACAAAAACCCAUAAGCACUUACAUGGCAUAGUUCACUUGGUGAACUGAGUGGACUUGAAGAUAAGAUAAACUAUCUCUUUUAGAUAGUUAUCCCGUGUUCAAAUGCUACUUUAAAAUGUAUUUAAUCAAGAAAAUCUCAGUUGUUAUUAAAGCAAAUUUGUCAAGAAUGAACCAUUUGAUUGGAGCAAUCCUCUUUACAAAUUUCUUUAGCCUAAAAUCUCCAAACCUUGCACUAUGAAGGAGAAAAUAAUCACAUGUCAGAGACCCGGGUGAACGUUGAAAAAGAAAAUCAUUUUAUAAAAUCUUUGUGUAACAAUUUAAAAUCAGAAAAAUGAGAUAAAAAUUAGUUGGUUGAAAAUAAUAUACUAUACUAGUAGUGACAGCCACAUGCAUAUACAGAUAAAAAAUUUAUGCAAACAACUAUAAACUGAUUAUGAAGACUAUGAAUUGAAUAAUUUGAAAUAGAAUGUUUCAAGAGAAAUAUUCUAGCUUUAACGAAAGGUUACCUUAUGAUAAGUAAAUGAUGAAGGAAAGAAG